UGACUUUCUUAACCUUUUUUGUCGUUACCAAAAAAUAGGGAGAAAUUAAAGAAAAGGAGAAACAAAAGAAAAAUAAGAAACAAAAAUAUUAAAACAUUUAUUGUUUUUCAAUUUUCCUAUUUGGGUUUUUAAUAUUGUUUGUAGUACUUUGUUAUUGGGUGUUACUCCCUCCACCACCCCAAGUGCUCCUGCACCUCUCCACCGACUAUUUUCUUUUAUUCCAAAAAUACUCUACACCUCCCCACUAUUUUCUUUUUUUCCAAAAACACCCUAAAUCUCCCCAUG
rnacentral:lncRNA from 1 species